rnacentral:rRNA from 1 species
GUAGGUGAACCUGCAGAUGGAUCAUCG